CGUUAUUGACUGGUCAGUGGGUUUCAUUUGGUGUACACAUGGGUUGGUUGGCUACCAGGGUUACCAGGUGUGAUCCACCGCUUCAUUCAGAAGUGAUACGUGUUCUGUACACAUGAGCAGCCACCGCCCUAAAAAUCCGUUCGUGUUACAGUCUGCUUUUCCAAACUAACCUCUCAUCGCUUCCUUCCUAUGCUCUGUAUCUCUCUUCUUCCCUGUUCCACCAACUCCUAAUUGAUAUUUAUUUUCUUCCUUAUCAGGUCGAUAUCCACUACACCCCCUCCUCUCUCACACUCCUUUCCGAUAUUCGACCUGUGCUUGCCUCUAAUGAUCGGCGGUGGCUAAGUCAUCGGGAACUCCACAAUUUUAGAUGGGCAUUCAAGAAGAAGUCCACAAUUCAAGGUAUGAAGAAGAAGUUCACAAUUUGGGGAUUCAAGAUGAAGUCCACGAUUCAAGGUAUCCAGAGUUAAUAACACGUGUCCAUGGGAAACGAAAGACUACUGCUUCCUUGUAUUCAUUUGUUCUUGAUUUCUCCUUCUCACCGACUUUAUUUGUAUUUGCUUCCGACUCUAAUCGAUAUUUCCACCGGUGGGAAGAAGAAGACGGUGGUCCAUUGUUACCAUACCCAAUCACCUAUAUCUCUACUGUUGGUGCCCAACAAAAGCCCUAAAAUCGAUUUCAAUUGCUCGCUCCUCCUCUUUGGUGGAUAUCGUUUUAGCUUUUCAGGGAAACAACAUUGAUGAUGUAAGUAUGUCAAUCCCCUUUCAUCACCUCUAAUUCUUAUCCUGACACAUCUUCUACUGCCCUUCUACUUUUUUCUUUCUUCUUUAUCCAAUAUUAGCCUCUAAUUGAAUCCCUUUAAGGUUUCUAAUUUUCGUUUCAGGUAAGAUUGGAUAGUAAAUUACAAUAUUGUCUUUUUUUUCUGUCACUUAUCUGUAAUCUUUAUCUAUUUCUUUUCCUGAAAAGAAAGAGUAAAGGUCAAUAAUAGCAACUGCAAGGUGAAAUGGUCUGCAAUUAGGGUUCUUACAGAGAAUUCAGCCACAUGUUAUUUAGAUCCUACGAGAGCGGAAAAGUAUUGAUCAUUCUAUCACAUGGUCUGCAAUUAGGGUUCAUUGUAAAAGUCAAACUUACUUUGAUCCUUAAGGAAAAGUAUUGAUCAUUGUACCACAUGUUAUUUAGAUCCUACGAGAGCGGAAGGUCAAGGGAUGUGAGUUGUUACAUUAAAGGCAGCCUUACAUCGAAGAAGUUUUUAUUACUAAAAAUUUGGAACUUAGUGUUAAACUCCGAUGCAGACAUGCAGUAAUGUGAAACAAGUUGCUGAGAAGUAACCUAAGAAGAAGGUCAAGCGAGUCUUUAGAAUGUGCACACCAUGUCCUAGUUGAAUGUUCCUUGGCGCAAAGUGUUUGAAGGUUGAUCUGGAGAUAGUGUGGUGUCCAUCAAGCUUCCUUUGGUAACAUAAGCGAUUUAUUGAACUUUGCAUCUAACGGGGGACGUUGUUCUAUGAAGCGUAAAAUUCUUAUGGUGAUUUGCUAUUGUAUGUCUUGGUGCCUAUGAAAAACCACAAAUAAUAGAGUCUUCAACAAAAGGUUGCCCUCUCCUUCUAUGGUGACUGACAACAUCAUUUCUACGGUGUAUUGUUGGGUGAAAUAUAGAAGAAAUUUAGCAAGUUGUAAUUGGAUUGAUUGAUGUAUCUCCCUAUUUUCUUGUAAUUCCGUUUUUUGUACAUUCUUUUUUUCUCUGCUAGAAAUGGGUCUUUUUUU